rnacentral:rRNA from 1 species
AUGAACGCUGGCGGCGUGCCUAAUACAUGCCAGUCGAGCGAACAGACGAGGAGCUUGCUCCUUCGACGUUAGCGGCGGACGGGUGAGUAACACGUAGGUAACCUACCUAUAAGACUGGGAUAACUUCGGGAAACCGGAGCUAAUACCGGAUAAUAUUUCAAACCGCAUGGUUCGAUAGUGAAAGAUGGCUUUGCUAUCACUUAUAGAUGGACCUGCGCCGUAUUAGCUAGCUGGUAAGGUAACGGCUUACCAAGGCAACGAUACGUAGCCGACCUGAGAGGGUGAUCUGCCACACUGGAACUGAGACACGGUCCAGACUCCUACGGGAGGCAGCAGUAGGGAAUCUUCCGCAAUGGGCGAAAGCCUGACGGAGCAACGCCGCGUGAGUGAUGAAGGUCUUCGGAUCGUAAAACUCUGUUAUUAGGGAAGAACAAACGUGUAAGUAACUGUGCACGUCUUGACGGUACCUAAUCAGAAAGCCACGGCUAACUACGUG